GUUAAUUCUCUCCCCCUGAAUGGGUCAAAGCAAGAUGGCGUGGCAGCCGGAGGAAAAUGGACUCCGCCAAAUCUUGCAAUUAUUAAAAGAAUCUCAGUCCCCUGACACUGCGACCCAGCGAAAUGUGCAACAAAAAUUAGAGGAAUUGAACAAGUAUCCAGAUUUCAACAAUUACUUGAUUUUUGUUCUCACAAAAUUGACAACAGAGGAUGAACCUACACGGUCAUUGAGUGGACUGAUUCUGAAGAAUAAUGUGAAAGCACACUUUGAGAAGUUCCCUCCAGAGGUGACCAGCUUCAUAAAAGCGGAAUGCCUGUCCAGCAUAGGGAACCCCUCCCCGCUAAUCCGUGCCACCAUUGGAAUCCUGAUUACAACAAUAGUAGCCAAAGGAGAAUUGCGCAACUGGUCUGAGCUCCUGCCUACUCUUUGUAAUUGCCUGGACUCUGAAGAUUAUAAUGUGUGCGAGGGAGCAUUUGGUGCAUUACAAAAGAUCUGUGAGGACACCGCUGAGGAUCUGGACAAUGACAGCUCCAGGCCCCUCAAUGUCCUCAUCCCAAAGUUCCUACAGUUUUUUAAGCACAACAGUGCCAAAAUCAGGUCUCAUGCCAUUGCCUGUGUGAACCAGUUUAUCAUCAGCAGGACCCAGGCUUUGAUGGUCCACAUUGACAGCUUUAUUGAGAACCUGUUUUUCCUGGCUACGGACGAAGACACGGAGGUCAGGAAGAAUGUGUGUAGAGCCCUAGUCAUGCUGGUGGAGGUUCGCAUGGACCGACUGAUUCCCCACAUCAACAGCAUCAUUGAGUACAUGAUGCUGAGGACCCAGGAUGACGAUGAUUCGGUGGCCCUGGAGGCGUGCGAGUUCUGGCUUUCUCUGGCCGAGCAGCCAAUCUGUAAGGAGGUACUGCAGCCUCACAUUGAACGCCUCAUCCCAAUCCUCGUCAAGGGUAUGAGGUACUCGGAGAUCGACAUUAUUCUUCUGAAGGGUGAUGUUGAAGAGGAUGAGAUGAUCCCAGACAAGGAGUCAGACAUCAAGCCCAGGUUUCAUAAAUCUCGUUCCCACACCCAGAAACACCAGGAGGGAGACGAGGAUGGUGAGGGGUCUGAUGAUGGAUUUGAUGAUGAUGACAAUCUCUCUGACUGGAACCUCAGGAAGUGCUCCGCUGCAGCGCUAGAUGUGUUGGCUAAUGUGUUCCGUGAGGAGAUUCUACCAACACUGCUUCCAAUCUUGAAGGAGACUUUGUUCCAUGCAAACUGGGAAGUAAAAGAGUCGGGAAUCUUGGUGUUGGGGGCCAUUGCUGAGGGCUGUAUGAACGGAAUGAUCCCCCACCUGCCAGAACUGACGCCUUAUCUGAUUGGCUGUCUGAGUGACAAGAAGGCCCUAGUUCGCUCCAUCACCUGCUGGACCCUCAGUCGCUACGCUCACUGGGUUGUCGGCCAGCCACAUGAGAUGUACCUCAAACCCCUUAUGACAGAGCUGUUGAAGAGAGUGCUGGACGCCAACAAGCGAGUUCAGGAGGCUGCCUGCUCGGCUUUCGCGACUUUGGAGGAGGAAGCAUGCACUGAACUGGUUCCCUAUCUGGGCUUCAUUCUGGAGACGUUGGUGUACGCCUUCAGCAAGUACCAGCACAAGAACCUGUUGAUCCUGUAUGAUGCAAUAGGAACACUGGCUGACUCAGUGGGACAUCACCUCAACAAACCAGAGUAUGUGAACAUGCUGAUGCCCCCAUUAAUUCAGAAAUGGAAUAUUCUGAAGGAUGAAGACAAGGACUUAUUUCCACUGUUAGAGUGCCUGUCCAGUGUGGCCACAGCCUUGCAGUCUGGAUUUCUGCCGUACUGUGAACCAGUUUACCAGAGAUGUGUUAAUCUGGUGGAACAGACUUUAAACCAGAACUUUGCCAACAUUAAUCAGCCUGACCAGUACGACCCCCCGGACAAGGACUUCAUGAUCGUGGCGCUGGACCUGUUGAGUGGGCUGGCGGAGGGACUGGAGCACCACAUCGAGGGCCUGGUGGCCAGCAGUAACAUCCUGAAGCUCCUCUUCCAGUGCAUGCAGGUAGACUGUCACUUAUGUCCCUUGGAUCCCAUGCCUGAGGUACGACAAAGCUCGUUUGCUUUGCUUGGAGAUCUGACCAAAGCGUGUUUCCAGCAUGUUAAACCUUGUAUAGUUGAUUUUAUGCCAAUUCUUGGAUCCAACUUGAAUCCAGAGUUCAUAUCUGUGUGCAAUAAUGCUACCUGGGCUAUUGGUGAAAUCUCCAUCAAGAUGGGAAGCGAUAUGCAGCCCUACAUCAGCAUGGUUCUUGCUCCACUAAUUGAAAUCAUCAAUCGGCCAAACACUCCAAAGACUUUACUGGAAAAUACAGCCAUUACGAUUGGUCGGUUGGGGCUUGUUUGUCCCCAGGAAGUGGCUCCUACUCUUCACCAAUUCAUUAGGCAAUGGUGUACAUCACUGCGUAACAUACGUGACAACGAAGAAAAAGACUCUGCUUUCCGUGGUGUCCAAAGGCCGAUCUCAAAGAAAUGUUCUUUAAGAUAUUACAUGGGUUUAAAAAUCAAGUUGGUGAAGACAACUGGACCAAGUUUUCUGACCAGUUUCCGCAGCCAUUGCGGGAGCGUCUCGCCAUGCAUUACAAUGUGUGACCUGAUCCUUACAGGUCCAAAGGGGAAAAAGGGAAAGUGCUGUCAGGGAUAUCCCAUAAGGCACUACGGGGUCCAGCUCGGGGUUGGCAUCGCGUCUGGGGAGGGCCAGCUCAUAGGUCUCGCUGCCAAUAGGCGACGCUCCUAAUGGGGGCGUGCAGCAGGCCAAAUCGCGGAGGGUGGGUCGCGUAAUCGGGAGGGCUAUUGAGAAAAAUCUUCAUAUCUCAACAUCGCGCAAAAACAGGGAUUGUUAGACGUUAUCUGUAGAUUGCAUGCCCAAACUUUGUCAGUAUAUUGAUCUGUGUUCCUAUAGCAACAUGUAACAAACAACAAAAUCCUUCAUUUCAGUGCUUGAAAUUGUUAAGAGUUUACAGUAGUGGGGUGCACCAUAGGGGUAUUGUGUGUAAUGUCUGUUGCUGUGUGCUCAUGAUGACCCUUCCAACUUAGAUGUAAUGUAAGAGUUCUUAGGAAAUGUUGUUGCAGGGUUUCUUCCAGUCUGAUUUACCUAUAAACUGUUUGUCUUUCCCAAAUUAUGUAAGCAAAAGUGAUAAUGUUGUCAGCAGGUUAGCAAAUUUUAUAUUGUUCAGUUCCCAUGGUGUGCCCCAUUUACUAUUUUUCAGUGUCCUUGGUUUGAUUGAGUUGAAAUCAUGAUUAUUAUUGCAGGUGAAAAUAGAUAAUUUUUUCAUGUUAUCAUUCAUGUCUUGUUUGAAAUUCGGCAAAAACAUAAAAUAAAUUCCGAAAUGUUUAAAAAUAGUCGAACUCCAAACCCUGCGUGUUAAAAUCAGUCGAGCACUGAGAUAGUGAGGACACUGAAUUGGUUAGGAUUAAACGUUUUCUUCAGCUUUUCAAUGUUUCUUGUACAAUCCAUGAGAGGAUGAAUCCAGUCCAUGAAUUUCAAUCUAAAUUAUACAUAAUGCUUCCAAAUAAUCCUAUUUUUAUGUGUUUUAAAAAUUUGCUUUCAAAGAAUUUGGAAAGAAAUAUCACAGCUGAACUAGUACACUAGCUAGUCAUGUUCGAUCAUGUGUAAAUUGGUAGUCCUGCGUUAUUUACAGUUUUAAAACAUCUGACUGAUUCAUUUCGCUCUCGUGGAUUAAAACCUUGCGUCUCAAACAGCAACCUCCUGUAAUCCGUUUUUUAGUGCAAGACCAAGCGCCCAUUUUUUUUAUGUGCAUCUGAAUGCCAAAGCCUAUUUCCUAUGUCUGGAUGCAGACAGUCAGUGAUUGACGAGGUCAAGGUCGUGUCAUAGUGUCAUCCUUCAGUUCAAGGACACGAACAGGUGUAUUCUGAAAGGGAAAUAACUCUAGCAUGGUGAGAGGAAUACACUAACGUGGUGUAGAUGCAACAGUCAGUGAUAAGAUCACAAUUGUCUACCGAGUGCUCGCUCUCUACGUCAAUUGUGCCAAUGUGAAGCAAUCUUUUUUACACCUAUUUUUAAUUAGAAUUUAUUAUUUAGAGUUUUUAUCUAUUUAGGUUUUUUUUUAAUGAAGUACUGGAUUAACUUUUUCUUGGAAAUGUAGUAAGAUCUACAUGUAUUUCAACAAUUAAUUACUGUGUAAUUGGUGUUGGUUAUUAUACUGUAAGGGUUUAUUAUCAUCAAAAUUAUACUUCAAGACAAAUGUAUGUAAAAA
rnacentral:sRNA from 1 species